rnacentral:rRNA from 1 species
UUGAACGCUCGCGGCAGGCCUAGCACAUGCAAGUCGAGCGGAUGAAGGGAGCUUGCUCCUGGAUUCCGCGGCGGACGGGUGAGUAAUGCCUAGGAAUCUGCCUGGUAGUGGGGGAUAACGUCCGGAAACGGGCGCUAAUACCGCAUACGUCCUGAGGGAGAAAGUGGGGGAUCUUCGGACCUCACGCUAUCAGAUGAGCCUAGGUCGGAUUAGCUAGUUGGUGGGGUAAAGGCCUACCAAGGCGACGAUCCGUAACUGGUCUGAGAGGAUGAUCAGUCACACUGGAACUGAGACACGGUCCAGACUCCUACGGGAGGCAGCAGUGGGGAAUAUUGGACAAUGGGCGAAAGCCUGAUCCAGCCAUGCCGCGUGUGUGAAGAAGGUCUUCGGAUUGUAAAGCACUUUAAGUUGGGAGGAAGGGCAGUAAGUUAAUACCUUGCUGUUUUGACAUUACCAACAGAAUAAGCACCGGCUAACUUCGUG